rnacentral:rRNA from 1 species
GACGAACGCUGGCGGCGUGCUUAACACAUGCAAGUCGAACGGGUCUGCCCUGUUUUUUGCGGGGUGGGUCAGUGGCGAACGGGUGAGUAACACGUGAGUAACCUGCCCCUCACUUCUGGAUAACCGCUUGAAAGGGUGGCUAAUACGGGGUGUUCUGGCUGUGCCGCAUGGUGUGGCUGGGAAAGAUUCACUUUUGCGGUGUUUUGGUGGGGGAUGGGCUCGCGGCCUAUCAGCUUGUUGGUGGGGUGAUGGCCUGCCAAGGCUUUGACGGGUAGCCGGCCUGAGAGGGUGGGCGGUCACACUGGGACUGAGAUACGGCCCAGACUCAUGCGGGAGGCAGCAGUGGGGGGUAUUGCACAAUGGGCGGAAGCCUGAUGCAGCGACGUCGCGUGAGGGAUGGAGGCCUUCGGGUUGUGAACCUCUUUCGCCGGUGAAGAAGGUCCUGCUCUUUGUGGUGGGGUUGACGGUAGCCGGGUUAUGAAGCGCCGGCUAACUACGUG